CCCUACGGGGGGCAGCAGUGAGGAAUAUUGGUCAAUGGGCUUACGCCUGAACCAGCCAAGUCGCGUGAGGGAAGACUGCCCUAUGGGUUGUAAACCUCUUUUGUCAGGGAGCAACGCCGGCUACGUGUAGCCGGACUGAGAGUACCUGAAGAAAAAGCAUCGGCUAACUCCGUGCCAGCAGCCGCGGUAAUACGGAGGAUGCGAGCGUUAUCCGGAUUUAUUGGGUUUAAAGGGUGCGCAGGCGGAUUUUUAAGUCAGCGGUCAAAUCGUGGGGCUCAACCCCAUCCGGCCGUUGAAACUGGGGG
rnacentral:rRNA from 1 species